GCAACAAACUGAAUCGGAGCGCGUUGCAUUCUCACUUCAAGUUCACUGCGCGUGCAUCGUUAGCCCUGACUGACAUUUGGACCGCUCGCGUUUGUAUUCCAGAGUGCCGGCUUCCACCACAAUGAAACAACGACGAUGUUUGUACUAAAACAUGAUUGAACAGGAGAGCGAGAGAGUGCGGUCGAGAAAUCAAUGGCUACUACGACUAGCGCGUACACACACCCAUGCAACACACACUCCCAGUACCGCUACUCGUUGGUCGACGUCGCGACGCUCUCGUCGGAAGGGGAAAGAAGUGUGCGUGCAAAGAACCCGUGCCGCCUGCUGCGAUGGUAUUGGUGCGCUCGUCGUAAUACACAGGGCUCAAAACACACGCGCUCGCGAACGGUCGUUCACCCCGCGGGGUCUUCCAUAUAUCGUACAGUCAUUUCUCUCAUCAUAGUUGAUCAAACGGUCGCAACUUUUUCAUAGUCCUCGACUUCCCUCAAGCACUCGACUUUAACUUCUAAUGUUUAUCGUCGCCGGAAAAGUCGUCGUCGGUUCUGUCCGUGCUGUCAUACGCGUCUGGUCCGCGGGUUGCGCCUCGUCGUCGUCGUCGGUUCCCGGCCAUCGGUCACCGGUUCCCUAAGGGGAGUUGUUCGGGCCUCACCUGCUGUAAAUUUUCGCUCUUUUUUCGGCCGUGUUCCGUGUUCAAGUAUUUCUGCAGUCGCGAGGAGAAGUCGGGAUUGUUCCAGAACCGUUUUAUCCCUGUGGUGGCCCCAACUUGGAUGGUUCCGGCCAGCACCAUGAUAAGAAUUUGGAGUGAAGGAACCCCACCGUGGUGGGGUGACCGCACAGCCUACUGCUGAGCUGUGUCGUCGGUGAAGGAAAAUCUGAAAAGGGGAAAAAGUGAAGAAUAUUACUGCCACCUCUGAAAAGAGGAAAAUAAGAUUGCAAUAAAAGUGUACUCCAUAUGUUGUAGUAAUAAAAUAAAAGAAUAAAAGUUAAGCAAUAUUCGUGAAAUAAAGAGAAUAGAUUGAAGAAAAAAUAACAAAUAAAAGGACUGUUCAAAAGUAAGUUGCGAAAUUCAAAACAAGUGAAGUUCUGUGCCAUUCAUUGCGAAAACUGAACAGGUGAAGAAAGGAAAACAAAAGAAAUAGAAACAGAAAAUCGCCUGCCCAACAAAUCUGAGUGUGUGUAACUUUUGGAAUUUUGGGGACACUCGUGGCGAAAUAAAUCGGAUUACUAAAAUUGCUGCUGCUGCUGGAGCAAGGCGUGAUGAUUGCCUGAUGGUCAAGUAAACGGUCAAACGAUCAAGUGACAGGUGCGUGAAUUUGUUAUUUCGGGAAAGCCGCAGGGGUAUGAAAUUUGUACAAAAAGUGCAGUGUGUCGCAGUGCGAAGAAUGCUUUUCCUGUACAGCCAGCUAUUCGUACCGUAAGGAAGGUUUGAGAGAAUGAAAAAAUGCUAAAGGAAGAAUAAUAAAAAGGAAGUGAAUGAAUUAAGAAGGUGAUUAAAAUAACCGAAAGGAAGAACUAGUGCAUAAAACGGUGUCCCCCAUUCCCCCAGUUUUUACAGUUUUCCUGCAGUGUGUUUUUGGUGAAAUUUGCAAAAAGAAAGAAGACAGAAAAAAAGUUGCGAUUGCUGAACCUGAAUUCAAAAACCGUGACUGGACACUCUCUUCCUAGAAUGGCCAACGAUAAUGGCUAACUCCAGCGAUUCAAGGUACAUCACCCGAGCCGGCGAAUUAAAGAGACAACCGGACAAAAUGUUGCCGAAUUUCUUGAUAAGGUAAUUUCACACAAACGGUGACAUUUGCGCUGCCAGAUGAACUGCAGAAAGCCUACCAUUUCCGGGUGAAGUGGCACACGAUUCCGAGCUGUGGUCUUCCUGAUACAAAUACCAACCCUCGGCUACCUCUUGCCACCCAGAUUAAGUCACGCGAGAUUCCAAAUGACAUGAGUGAUGGUCCAGUUGCACUUCUACUGCAACUUCCAACUACUAUUGAACUUCCUGAUAGAUAUCCCUCUCACGGUGGGGUCGCUGCACCGAUUACAUAAAUAAAAUCCCCUCAACCUCACCUUCUCCCCCAAGUCAUUCGCGCGCGAUUAUGCUGCCAUCGGAAUUGACGUGCAAACUCCCAUCAAACGGCAGCGGGAGGUUGCCAUUUCAAGCUUAAAGUUGAUCGUGAGAAGAAGAAGAAAAAUGCGAAAAGCAAAGCAUCAAAAUACCACAAACCCAGCAAUAACAACAGCAAACUUGGUGAAGAAGAGAAGAAAAAAAUGUCGGUAAAGAAAGAGGAAAAAUAAGCGAAGUAAACACGACAGGCGAAAUAAAAGUAAAAACCUCGGAACGGGAAGAGAAAGUUGAUGAUCUUUAUCUCGCGCUCCGGUCCGGACCGCUGCCGCCGCCGUCACAAGAGAGCUCCACGUAAAACACUUCCUCUUUCGGAUUUUGCACGCCAUGGUUUUGCGAUCGUGAGGGACCGCUGGAUGAAGCAUGGAGUUCAAGCUUGAGUUUGACAGGGU